AGGAUUUAAGUUAGUCUAAACUAUCAACCUUCAAAGUUGCCAACAAAGAUGCCUUUAAGCCUUG
rnacentral:tRNA from 1 species